GUGGAUUAGAUACCCUGGUAGUCCACGCAGUAAACGAUGAUUACUAGCUGUUUGCGAUACAAUGUAAGCGGCUGAGCGAAAGCGUUAAGUAAUCCACCUGGGGAGUACGUUCGCAAGAAUGAAACUCAAAGGAAUUGACGGGGGCCCGCACAAGCGGAGGAACAUGUGGUUUAAUUCGAUGAUACGCGAGGAACCUUACCCGGGCUUGAAAUGCAUCUGACCGGCCUUGAAAGAGGCUUUCCCUUCGGGGCAGAUGUGUAGGUGCUGCACGGUCGUCGACAACU
rnacentral:rRNA from 1 species